rnacentral:misc_RNA from 1 species
GGAUGCAUACAUCUACAUUGCACAAAAAAUUUCAGGUUGCUGGGGGAAACCUAAUGAGGUUCACUUGUAUAGGCGAUCACGAUUGGGAAAGUUUUCUCUAUUUCCCGCUGGAUGCAUGAGUUAUAAAUUGCUCUAAUGUAUUUUUGUUCUUCAAAUUCAGAAGCCAUUCUUUCUAAUACUAUUGGGAGAGCUCUGAAGACGUGGUUCGGGCCUUGGGGGUACUGCAUCAGCACUUUUGUCCCUUGUCAAUAUUACUGUAGAAUUUUGUUACCUCUUCGCACUGCGAUGAAUGUUUUUGUAAUCUAUAGCAUACUAUUACCAUAUAGUUACAAUUUUGGUU